rnacentral:rRNA from 1 species
GACGAACGCUGGCGGCGUGCUUAACACAUGCCAGUCGAACGAUGAAGCGGGUGCUUGCACUCGUGGAUUAGUGGCGAACGGGCGAGUAACACGUGAGUAACCUGUCCUUUUCUUUGGGAUAACGGCUGGAAACGGCUGCUAAUACUGGAUAUUCAGGCUGCAUCGCAUGGUGUGGUUUGGAAAGGUUUUUUCUGGGAUUGGGUGGGCUCGCGGCCUAUCAGCUUGUUGGUGGGGUGAUGGCUUACCAAGGCUUUGACGGGUAGCCGGCCUGAGAGGGUGGUCGGUCGCACUGGGACUGAGAUACGGCCCAGACUCCUACGGGAGGCAGCAGUGGGGAAUAUUGCACAAUGGACGAAAGUGUGAUGCAGCGACGCCGCGUGGAGGGUGUAGGCCUUCGGGUUGUGAACUCCUUUGUCUCGCGAAAAAGGCACAGUUUUGGCUGUGUUGAUGGUAGUGGGGGAAGAAGCGCCGGCUAACUACGUG